UACGGGGGGGGCAAGCGUUGUUCGGAAUUACUGGGCGUAAAGCGUGCGUAGGUGGUUCGUUAAGUCCGUUGUGAAAGCCCCGAGCUCAACUUGGGAAUUGCAGUGGAUACUGGCGAGCUAGAGUGCGGUAGAGGAAGGUGGAAUUCCCGGUGUAGCGGUGAAAUGCGUAGAGAUCGGGAGGAACACCAGUGGCGAAGGCGGCCUUCUGGACCAGCACUGACACUGAGGCACGAAAGCGUGGGGAGCAAACAGG
rnacentral:rRNA from 1 species